AAAACAUGUCUCACACGGCCUCCAUCACCUCGCCGCCCUACCCGGCGACGCAUCAUAUAGCGAUCCUCACCACCGUUAGCUCAUCGUCUUCGAAAGUUCCAUCUGACCUGGAUCAAUUCGAUCCAAACAAAAGGUACAAUCCAGUCUUGCGUGUUCCUCUCGGUUUCCAAGUUCAGCAAUCGAUGGUGAUUUAACAGUCCGAUUCUAGCAGCAGGUGCCAAUAAAGGCAUGAUAGUGUGAUGCAAGCAGUCAUGCCCUCUGUUGUCCGGUCAUGCAAGUUGUUCGACUCAUGUCUGCAGACUCUUGAUUCAAAUCUUCCAUCCACAACGUGAAAUUGUCUUUUUAUGUAGCAUGUUGAUGCGUAGCAUGGUCUGUCGGGCAGGCAGGAGCACGGUUUUUUGUAGGCCGAGCUACAUGGUACCCUAUAUCAGGACCGUCUAAAGUGGACUGUGAUGCAUCGAAAUAUGUGGAAAAGUUUGAAAAGUUGCAACUCUGUUAAGAUGAUCAGCGCAUAAUAUACUGGCAGGACGCACUGUUGAUGAUGUGAAAGGACAUCUGCCCCUGGCCUCAUGCCGCACGCCUCUCUCUCACAGUCACAUGCAGCCUCAUGCCGUCUCUCUCUCACAUGCACAGCCUCUGACACAGUCUCUAUCUCAUCUACUAUGAAAAAACCACCGCUUCAUUCAUCUCUCACUUUCUUAAAAAAGUAUGUCUUUUCUCUCACAAGCGCGCGCUCUCUCUCUCUCUUCAAUUUCUCAAAGGUGUCUCUCUCUACUUUGAGAAGGUAAAUUUGAGAAUACAAAGUUUUCUCGACUCUAUUUUUUGUCUUCAUAAAUUUCUCUCUAGUAUCUCAGGCUUUCACACAGGUUAUCUCCGUCUCUAAAAAGUCCAUGUUUUUUCUCUCUAGUUGUGGGGUACUGCCCCACUCUUUCUCUCUCGCAUGUAGGCUGCAACAGCAGUGAGCUAGACAUCGGACAGAGCAUCUACACAGCAGCACGGGACGCACAUGCACCUGCUCGGCUGCUCCCUCUCACAUGCAGUGAAAACAAAUCAGAAAGUGAAAGAGUGAGAGAGAGAGAGAGCGCUACAUGUGCUGACAAACGUCAUUGUGUAUUCACUAACGCCAGCAAGUGGGUGUAAACAAAUGCGGCUGUUGCGGUCUGUUUGCCUCGUGACCACAAGUACUCAAGCGGCGAGGCUUGUGACCACAAGUAGUCAAGCGAAGAGGCAGUGACACGACGGGACAGCGCUGGUGGCACGGGAAAUCUCGCUACUGUUCACGUAGCCCUUCCUUUCAGACUAAAUCUCUCUAUGCUAUAGAGAUUCUACUGCAUAUGCUGGCACUAGCACAGAUCUUCGUAUCAUGACCAACGGUAUAGAUA